UACGUAGGGUGCAAGCGUUAAUCGGAAUUACUGGGCGUAAAGCGUGCGCAGGCGGUUAUGUAAGACAGAUGUGAAAUGCCCGGGCUUAACCUGGGAACUGCAUUUGUGACUGCAUGGCUAGAGUUUGGCAGAGGGGGGUAGAAUUCCACGUGUAGCAGUGAAAUGCGUAGAUAUGUGGAGGAACACCGAUGGCGAAGGCAGCCUUCUGGGCCAACACUGACGCUCAUGCACGAAAGCGUGGGGAGCAAACAGG
rnacentral:rRNA from 1 species